rnacentral:rRNA from 1 species
AGGACGAACGCUGGCGGCGUGCUUAACACAUGCAAGUCGAGCGGAAAGGCCCUUCGGGGUACUCGAGCGGCGAACGGGUGAGUAACACGUGAGUAACCUGCCCCUAGCUCUGGGAUAGCUCCGGGAAACCGGGAUUAAUACCAGAUACGACCACUUUAGACAUCUGUCGUGGUGGAAAGGAUUCCGGCUAGGGAUGGGCUCGCGGCCUAUCAGCUUGUUGGUGGGGUAACGGCCUACCAAGGCGACGACGGGUAGCCGGCCUGAGAGGGCGACCGGCCACACUGGGACUGAGACACGGCCCAGACUCCUACGGGAGGCAGCAGUGGGGAAUAUUGCGCAAUGGGCGAAAGCCUGACGCAGCGACGCCGCGUGGGGGAUGAAGGCCUUCGGGUUGUAAACCCCUUUCAGCAGGGACGAAGCGAAAGUGACGGUACCUGCAGAAGAAGCGCCGGCUAACUACGUGCCAGCAGCCCGC